rnacentral:misc_RNA from 1 species
CAAAUAUAUAUGCUGCUAUGCACAGAACACAAGGCCACAUAUUCCAGGGUUAGGAUCUUCAUCUCAAGAUGGCAUGGCAACUUCAUCCUUUCCAUAGAUACGCUGAAGUUCACGGGUGGCAGCUUGAUAUGAUGCUUUCCAGCUACGGAAAUUCUUCUGAUUAAUAGGAGACCCAGUCAUAUUUUGGAUUGCAUCAAACAGCAUCUCCUGAGGAGUGUUCUUCAGCUCCUGAACAACUGCAUAAAUGGUCUUUCCAUUCUCAAAGAAAAUAUGAUUGUUGGGGUGCUUGGUCUUGCAGCUAGCAUGACGCUCAAAUUCAUAAGCAUUCAGAGCCUUAGAGAAGUUGCAUUCCUGGCAGCCACAUAAAUACCCAGUCCCCUUUAUAAUUCCUUUAAGAUUUUUCUCCCUUGACCAUGAAACAUAUUUAACUGGAACCCCAUCGAGCAUGCCAGUCGAUGACAAACUUUUGACAUUUGAAGGGAAGUUGUUUGGAGGAACCUUCUUAGACGUCUUGGCAUCUUUGCUCUUGGGGGCCAUAUCAAAUUUUGAAUUAGCUUUUGGGGCAUUAUUUACAGUUG